AACGUGAAAUGUAGCCGCUCAANCGGNCUGAGUUGCGUUCGCGAACUGGGUUUCUUGAGUGAGUGNGACGUUCAGCGGAAUUCGUGGUGUAGCCGGUGAAAUGCUUAGAUAUUCACGAAGAACCCCCGAUUGCGAAGGCAGCUGACGAGCCCUUUACUGACGAUAAAGCUCGAAGGUGCGGGUAUCGAACAGGAUUAGAUACCCCUGGUAGUCCGCACGGUAAACGAUGGAUGCCCGCUGUAUGCGAUACAAUGUAUGCGGCCAAGCGAAAGCGUUAAGCAUCCCACCUGGGGAGUACGCCGGCAACGGUGA
rnacentral:rRNA from 1 species